rnacentral:lncRNA from 1 species
GUCGGGCUCUGGGAGAGAGCGAGAGAGAAAUCCGGUUAAAAUCAGAGUCGGAGGGAGGUUUAACCACAGAUCGGUUCCGAUCGGAUUAUUCCUUAAAGGGGACGCGCCAUUGUCAAGAGAACGGAGCCAGGGGCCCGAGGGCGGGGACCGGCGGCGCUGGAGGAGCGAGGCAGCUGUACUAGGACUGGGAACGGAGCUGAAGCCAUUUAUUGGUAUCUUGGAUGGUUAACAUCUAAAUGCUUAAUUCCUGAAACCACUCAAGAGUCAUAGGAUUAGAUGAUCCAAGUCACCAAGAAAUUACUGUCUCAAGUGAUACGAUCCUUGAGGAAUUGCCAUACUGUCUUCCACAAUGGUUGAACUAAUUUACACUCCCACCAACAGCGUAAAAGCAUUCCUGUUUCUCCACAUCCUCUCCAGCAUCUGUUGUUUCCUGACUUUUUAAUGAUUGCCAUUCUAACUGGCGUGAGAUGGUAUCUCAUUGUAAAGUCACAGAUAUUUUUUUACUUUUGUUCAUGUUCCAAAGCCUUUACCUUCUACUUUUUCUUUUGUAGGUAAUCAUCAAAAUUUUUAUUAUUAGCCAAUAUGGUGUAUAAAUAAUAAUUAUUGUAAUACUAAGCAAUUGUAUGUUAUGUAAAAAUUUCUGUUAUAUAAAUCUAUGCAUAAAUAUAUGCAUAUAAUAUUUGUGUACAUAUGUAAGUUUGUGGCUGUGAGGUAGUAGCCCAAAGAUUUUUUUUUUAAAUCCUUAAAGACCUCUGGGGGUGAGGAAGCUAGAGGCAGCUUCCACAGACUUCAGUGUGGUUAUUUUAGACCACAUCUACCUGUAGGGAUUUUGAAAUACCCCAAUUGUUGAGAACUAGUGUGUAUUUUGAGGGCUGUUACUAUUCAGAAUGUUGUGUGUAAAAACAUAAUAGAGUCAGAAAAAAGCUGAGAUCUGCUGCUGUAAUGAGCUCAAACACACCUAAUUGUAAGAGUUAUACGUUAUUUCUCUUCUCACUUGUCUCUUCUUUUUGACUGAAUUUAAAUUUAUUUUAUAAUGGUUUAGGAGUCUCAUCAGCAUGAAAAAGACAAUUAUUUUAUUAAAUAUAUUAAAUACAGUGCUAUGGAGAGUGUAAGCCAUCCAAAAAUACUGAUAUUUAGUUUUUAUUUGAGCUUUAUCUAAGAGACAGAGCAGGAAUGCUAGCUUUUAGAUUCCCAAAUUUUAAUUAUUCAGGUCCUGUUUAUUCUUAUUAUUAGCAGUUAGAGUUUAGUAGAUUUAUAUUCCAAGUAUGUUUAAUACGACAUGGGUUUUUCCAGUUUGUAAUUCAAUGCUUGAAUUGCAAUCUUUAGAAUUAUAUUAACAGUUAUGUCUUCCUUCUCUCAUAGGCUUACAUAAAUCUUUCAAAAUUUUGGGUUAGCAUGUAGAGAAAUAUUACAACUUAGCAUUAUAAGGUAUUUAAUGCAAGCAGUCAGGUAAUACCAAGUUAGUCUAGUUAUAUGGAAGCUAGCUUUUCUUCUUCUACUUGGAGUGAUCAUCCCUGUUUCUCUCCUAUUAGCAGAAAAUGAAAAGAAUUCACGUAUCUUUACCAAGGCUGAACAUUAUGAUGAAAUAUAAAGUUGAGGGGGACAACUUUGAUGGAUGAAAAAUGUUACCUGAUUUUUAUUUGUGUUUAGAAUAUUAAUGAAAUUAAAUAUUAUUGGCCUCCUCCAUUUUAUUGUUUGUAACUUGCUUGUUCAUGUCCUUGUCCUUGUUUCAGUUUGGGGGUGUGGGUGUUUUUCUAGUCGAUUUCAUCACAGCUUUGUGUGUAGAAACAAAAGUGAUUAACUGUGUGUUUAUUAUAUGCCCACAUAUUUUUUCCUGCUGUCUAAUUUUACUUUGGUUUUAUAUACAUACUCUUAGGAUCUUUACUCACCUAAUGCUGUAUUUUGAACACUUUCCUGUGCCAUUUGGUAUUUUUUGAUAAUGUAAUUUCAAAGAUCUGUUUAGCAUUCUGUUUAUUAGAUUAUAAAAAUCAUUUGUCUUGAACAAAAUAAAAUUUGAAAUUUAUUUUGGAA